UACGAAGGACCCGAGCGUUAUCCGGAUUUAUUGGGUUUAAAGGGGGCGUAGGCGUCCUGGAAAGUUACGGUUGAAAUCUCCUUGCUCAACAAGGAAACUGGCCGUAAAACUAUCAGGAUUGAGUACAUUUGAAGCGGGCGGAAUGUGUCAUGUAGCGGUGAAAUGCUUAGAUAUGACACAGAACACCAAUUGCGAAGGCAGCUCGCUAAACUGUAACUGACGCUGAGGCACGAAAGCGUGGGGAUCAAACAGG
rnacentral:rRNA from 1 species